GGCGGAGGGGAGGGGUGCUGGGCAGCCGCCCGCCCACGCGAGGAAGGAGUCGGCAGAGGUGGGGAAGCUCCUGCCUCGGCCUGAGCUGCCGCUGCCUGGUGCCCACCCUAGGAAUGAGAGGUGGGGGCUUCUCAUUGCUGCAGCCCUGAGCGGAGAAGCUCCCGCCGCAGAGUCUGGACCAUAAAUAAUCUACCAUGUAAACAUCAAUCUCAGAGUGGUAGGUUACAAAUCUAUGUCUGUUAAAGUCAUCUUUUUGGUGAUAUUAAUGUGGAUCCUAUACAUGUGGGAUUGAAGUUUCGUAUGUGAAUUUUCAUGUAUCUGCAUGCUUGGUGAGUUCCAUUUGCCUUUGCUAACUUCAUCUUUGAUCUCUGUCCCUCUGUCAGUGAUGUAAUUAAAUAUGCCUUCCUAGUGCACCUUGUCUUUGUAUAUUGACAAUAGCUUUAAAAGUAUUUAAAAUUAGAAGUCCGUGGAAAACCUGGCUCAUUGUUCUCUCAUUGCGCCAUUUACUGAAAACAUAAUAGCCCAAUCUGCAAAAUAUAAAGCAGCUCCUUAUCAUAAUACAGUUUAGCCACUCAAGCUCUAUUCUGAGGAACCCUCAGAACAGAGGAGUCACAGUCCUGUUAUCACAGGAACUUUACUCUGACUCAGAUUCAUUAGCAAGAGGAAUAAGCAUUUGCAGUUAAGGCAGGCUGUAGUACUCCACCCAUCGGCCUAAUUCUAACAUACCAUGGUUGCCUGAGUUUUUGUCUAUUGGUCUUCUCCUGCCUCAGCUGUUGGGAGCAUUAUAUAUACACUUUUUUUUGUAAGUCAGGCCACGCUGUCGCUUAGCUGUUUCAAACAGAAAGAAUUACAAACCAUCAAAAGGCCAUAUUUAAAGGAUUUGUGUUUCAGUUUCUUCAGGACGGUGAGCAAGCUAUUUGAGAAGCAGAAGAGAAAAGGAAUGUCUUAAGGAUAUUACUGAUCACCCAAAGCCAUCUUCUAGGCCGAAAAUGACUGUAAGGAGACCUUGGAAAGUGAAUGAAAGUGAUCUAAAGAAAAUGGGAACAGCAAACAUGGCAGGUAGCAGAAAUGGACAGAAACUAAGGAUGUUAAUCCUUGUAUUCUAUCAGGGUCCAUAUUUUGUGUGACCUGAGAAGCAGAGAUGGAAAAAAGAAUCUUAUUCCAAAUCCACUUGUUACCAAUAACACUCCUUGCACACACUCCUAGAACUGGUUGCCCUUUUACAGUUUCCUCUUAACUGCUGGGAAUUGACACUGAAAACACAUUGCAUCCACUUAGUCCCCCACUUGGUACACGUCUAAUACAGAAAAAUACUAGCUGCUGUUUGGCACAUGCACUGUUCUCUGUCCAGGGCAUGUUUAUUGGUGCAUACACAGCACUGCUGUGGUCGUGGCUACAUGACAUUUCUUCAGCAUUUGAUGUGCACAGGGAACAGGAGGGCAUGUUUUAACAGCAGUGCUCUCAAGCAUGAUUGGAUGCAGCAUAGAGCUACCUUAAGCACUUCAGUAAAAUUUAGGAAGGUAAAGAAGAGCUACGGUCAAAUUCCAUAAAGGAGAAAAAGAUUUAAAAACUCAGCAGAAACAAAAUAGAAAUUACUAGUAGGAGAGCACUUCUGAGAAGCAUUAUAUUUAUUUAGAACGCAUGAUGCCUUCACCACUACUGCAUUUUCUUCGGCUGUGUAUAUCCAGAAUAGGGUCAGAAUUUCAUCAAAGGCAUUCUGAAUUUCACUGAAUUAAACAAGAGCAUAAUUUGGAUUGUUCGUUUGGUUGUCUUUUCGGGGGGGGGGUUGCUUUAUUUUUUAAUAACCUUUUUACUUUUUUGGAGAAUAUGAAGGGGACAGGAGGGUCUGAAACUGAAAACAGUUUGCUAGGGAACAUUCACCCCUCUUAUCCAGGUUACCCCUCUUAGCUGGAACAUGGCCUGUGAAACUGUUUUCUGUUACCAGUGAAAUAAGUUAAAAGAGCACUUUAUUCACAGUGGAUGGAAUUCCAUCCUCAAUCUGACCUGUGCAAUUCCAUUUGUAACCUAGCAGCCUACAGCUUUAUCCUUGACCAGGCUGGUCUGUCUGCAUUUGCUCAGGGCUCACUACAUCUGAGUGCAAUCCAAGUCUCCAAGACUGAGGUUCAUUGAUAAGAACAGAUCUGAAGUUUGCAUAGUGCUAAUGUAAUAUACCUGCCUACAGCCAGCAACACCAUUUUCCUACUCCAAUCUGCUCUAAAAUAUACUCGUUUCCAAAAGAGACUCUUACUGUAAACUUCAUGCCAAAGCUGUGGUGCUUUGAAAAGGCAUAUUGGUGUGCUGUCAUAUAAUUGGGAGUCUUAGACUGUAUCCCACACAGGCCAACUCUGAGAAAAGAAGCAAGAAUGUAGAAUAGAACAAUAAUUGAACAAAUCUUGCAACGGGAGGUAUAUGGAUUGUGAUUUUGUGGCAGGACAAUAAGGGGCGGUAGUAUGCUGAACGACCCACCUCACUUUGCCCAACUGAAACCAUGCUUUGGGCAUCUCCCCUGGGGCACGUAUGGCUGGCUGACCCUUCCUGGAGCACACCCACAAGCCUAGGGUAAUCACUGCCGCCACUCGGGCUCUGGUCUCUGUUAGGGCUCUGUGCAGCCCAGGGUACACAGACCCUGCAGACCUUGGAGGUGCUUAGCCUGCCAUGGUAUUUUGGGGUGCUUCUGAUAGCCUGAAGCAUUCAAAAGCAACCUCCCAUACUAGAGGAAAGUAAAAAAGCCAAGCCCACUUUAGCUAGGCAAGCAAAGGGAGCUAGAAGGCUGGUCCCUUCCCUCUUCCCUCAAGAAUCCACAAGUCAGCAUGCUGUAACACAUAGCAUUUGUUGAAAUGAGAAAAAGAGACUGUAGAAGGGGUACAGGAUGGAGGAAUGUUAAGAGAAAAAAACACCUUGAGCAAAACAGAAUGGGCUUAUUGGCCCUUUUUAACAUGUGGCUAAAGAUAUGUCACUCUAAUAUACUGGCUAAAUUUCAGGUAAGUUACUCGCAUAUACAUCUGGAGAAUGAUAGAAUUCUGGAGGCUUUUUGCUUGUUUCAGUGUCCCAAAAUGACUGACCUCCCACAAGAUGGAGUGACCUAUAACAUUUUUGACCUCAUCACUAAGUUCCAACCAGAAACGGACUAUAUGAUGCAGACCAAUCUUUUUAAAAGUCAUCAGCAUCCCAAGGUGGAGUGAUCAGGGUCACACAGGUUGUUCAGUGGGAAACUUGGGACAAAGGAAGAGCAAGCUCCCCCCCUCCCUAUAGAAUUUUUACAACACAGGUGACGAGGUGGAUCCAGCAGCCAGAGUUUGAAAAUGGGACUGGGGAGCCUCAGAGCAGAGGCAGACAAAAAUGGGGAUUUCUGUUGAAAGGCUACAGGAGAUUUUCAAAGAAAUUUCUUCAGCUUUUGCACAUUUCCAUUUUUUCUUUGUAAAUGUAUAUCCUACAGACCAUACACCCUAUAAAUGUUGAAGGGCCAGAGGAGAUUCCUGCACAAGGAUACUCAUCUGAAAAAUGAAACCCCAAAUUGUCUCUAAUGGGUAUGAAAAUAAACAUUCUAUAUAGUUGAAUGCAAAGUCGGAGAAAAGCCUAUAGCUGCUAUGUUUAUUGGGUUGUUUAAUUCCCUUUACUUUCUGGGGAUGAGUGGGGGGAGUAUAAGAAUGUGUACUUGGUGUACAUUAAUGCACAGAUACAGAAGAAUGUAGGGUUGCCUUCAGGUGAUCUCCAAGUACAGCAACCUCAUCUGAAAAUUUGGUAGUAUACCUUUCAUUUGCUGCAGUUGAACACAUCCCUAAAAUUAACAAAACCUUCACAAAUAGAGUUUUUUCUGAAUUUCAGGAAAAAUCUUGAAUGCAGAUCCUGUAUGUAGAUCAAUAUGAUGCCAUGUUUAAUAAAAUGAUUUAUACAAUGUUCUUUUGUUAAUGAUUUUUAGCUAAAUAGCUGUCAAAUAUUAAGCAGAUUCCAGUUCGGCAGCUUUCCUUGUCAAAAUUUGACACAAUUUUCAUUGUACUGUUGCAUCAAACACCUGUUCCCUCUAGAUGGUGCUCCACAACCAAGAAUCAUGUUUAAUGCCAUCUCUCUUGAAAGACUAGUGAGAAAUAGUCAAGAAGACACUCUCCUUUGUCUCUGAAUUCUGUCUUAUAUUUGUUAAUCUGUGCAGCAGUUUAUAGACUGCUUGUUCUGUACAAUGUAAAUACAUUAUUUCCUACUCUUGCAAAUUUUAAAACCUAUGCACAAGAGCAUAAAAUGCAACCUGCAUGGAAUAAUAUCAUCUGUUACUCUGAGGACUGUUCCAUAUCUCAUAUCUCUUAUGGCAGCCAUUAACUGGUGUUAGCUGUUGAUCUGCUAGACGGUAUGUACAUCAUCACUACAAUUUGAUAACUUUUCUUUACAAAGGUCUCUAUAAUUUUCAAUAUUUUUAUACACGGUAUAUAGACACAAGCAGUAGACUAUAUAUAGAUGCAAAUAUUCAAAUAUGGAUAAAAUGUAUAAGAAAGCAAGCAACAUUAAUGACGAUGCUAAGUAUGUACAUAUAUUUAUAUCUAAUUAGAUUAAAUUAGAGAUUAAGUAAAUACAUUUAUUUAAAUGGUAAAAUCAUAUCAACAUUUCUGACAACCAACAUUGAUAUAGGAAAACAGGCAAGCUAUAAGGUUCCUUCCAAAGGAGGUGCUGAGUGACAGUCUAGUUUUCAUUAUUCUGGGUAUCAAUACAUCCAUAUUUAAUUGCCUGGCCCAGACCCUGCUGAAGUCAUAAGGGGUCUUUCUUCUUUUUUUCACUGGGUUUUGGAUCAGGCCCUAAAUCUCCACCUAUCCUUCAGUUAAGAUAAAAUAUUCCUUCUCAGGCAAGCAGCUACCAGUGUAGGUGGUGCUCUCAUUCCAGGGCAUAAACAAUGCACAAAAGGGCUCUGACCCCUAGAAAAGUGCAUAAUAACACUAAGCUAUUUCAGCAACUUGCAUCUAAAAAUGGAGUUCCUUUAAGUCCUGAUUCUGCAUGCCGUCAACUUCAGUAGUUAGGAACUGAAGGCAGAAUUAGUCCUGUAGUUCUUGUAUACAUGACUCAGGAUUUAUCAAGCAUCUCUGUAGCUAAGUCAGUGGAUAUACAAAUAUUACUGUUAUUUUAAUAUAAUUAUGGAUCUAGUUAAUAGUUAUCUUUUGUGCUAAAUAUUUCAUGUACAUUUUUCUUUUCCUUU